GGCCGGUCCUCCUGCCCCCAGGUCAGCUUCUCCACACUCACUCCACCAGGACCGUCUCGACUGUUUUGCCCAGACGAUGUACAAGACCCGCUCUGCCUAUUGUUACAGUUGUAUCUUUGUGAAUUGCCUUAGGACACCAAUGACCUAGAAGAAGCAGCACUUAAAUGAAUUUUAGAAUUUCUGAAAUCCGUGCACCAACAGGACCAGGAGUCCCUGGGGCACCCUGAGAGCCUGGCAGACCUGCAGGCCCAGGGUCUCCACGAUCACCCUGAGAAGAAUAGACAGAGCAUUUUUCUUUAAACAUUGAUUGUAUAAUAACAAUAAUCUAUAUUGCUCAUAUUAUAGACAAUAUGAAAAUAUACCAUUUCAAACACGUCGAUUUACUUCUUUACUUAAAUAUUUUACUUUUAUUCACUAAUCAAUACAUUAAAUUCAAGGGAAUAGGAUUAUUUCUCCUCAGCUUCAGGUCUUAUCCACCUUCGACUCUUGCUGUUCCCUACAUUCUGGUUGUCAGAGGACAGAAGUCAACAUUUGUGGUCUACCUUUCUAGACUAGUGGAGUUGACCUCCAGAAGUCAACAUUUGCUGGUCUGCUUUCCUAGACUAGCAGUCUUCAAAGAAGUGUCCACAUUCAUAAAGCACAGUGUAAAUUUCAGAGUGGGAAAACAUCAAGGAAGUCACUGCCUACAUUUUUCAGCUACAUUCACAAAAUCUCUCAGAAAACUGGUUCCUUCCUUCCUUGCCCUCCCCUCCUCUGGAAGAAGGGCAAACACUAUGCUAUCUUCAGUCCUGUAUAGCAUAACGCCCUUGAAAGCAACUGCUUCUGAGGGGCAAAGAAAGAUGCCUGCAGAUUGCAGAUCGCGCUUGGAAGAAAUGGGAAAGAGUCCUCCC